GCCGGGCAUGGUGGCACACACCUGUAAUCCCAGCUACUUGGGAGGCUGAGACAGGACGCUCAAGAGUUCAGCAAUGGUGAGGUGCUAAGCAAUCAGGGAGACCCUGACUCUA
rnacentral:sRNA from 1 species